CCGGAUGUGAGGCUGGCCAGAAUGACCGGCGGCUGCUCGGCACCCGGGACCCCUCGGCAGUGUCUUGUCUCAGCGUUUGGCGUCUUGGGGCUCCGGACCGCUUGACGGUGGGACCCCAGCAAGGUGCUUGGCGUCUCUGAGCCUCAUCUUUCGCUUCUGUAGAAUGGAAUAUGACCCAUUGCACCCUCACGGGAUUACCAGACGCAGAGCAUCCGUGGGUCCCGUGAGGUAAAAACGUUGUCAUCCUCGCUUUCCACGCGGGAAAACAUGGCACGGCAAAGCGAGAGACACCCCCCCCCUUCCCUGGUGACGCUUUUUGCCCGCGGACCUCCAGGGACAGAGGUGAGGCGAAGGAAAUUGGCCCUAGGCUUAUUCCCUAGGGCGGAGGAGAGAAUGUCACCGCCUCGCAGAGCCGCUGUGAGGCUCACGUGUCCUCAGUCUCAGGAUCACUUGAUGCUCCUAGCAGUGAUUGAGGGGCCAGAGGCUUUUGCUGAUAUGGGUUAUAGUUAAAUUAAAACAAGAAGUUUGACCGGCGUGGUCGCGCACGCCUCUAGUUCCAUUGACUUGGGAAGGUGCCGCAGGAGGAUCCCAAGUUCGAGGACAGCCUACGCAACUUAGUGACCCUGUCUCAAAAGGGGGAAAAUGUAAUACGUGGUAAAGCGCCCCUGGGUUAAUUCCCCAGUACUCCCCUCAAAUGUUUAGCCGUAUUUUUUAAUUUAAAAACGAACAUAUUAUAUGUAAUUAGUAGAUAAAUUUCAUAUCCCGAAAAUAAAGAAGAGUGAUGGUGUUUUACAUUUUUUGCAACUCUUUUUAAAGCUUAGUGGAUAGUAACGGGAUUCUCAGAUCUGCAUUAGGUUUGCUGCAAUGUUAAAGGUUGCUUUGGUUGACGUAUAUGAAGAAAAUCGA
rnacentral:lncRNA from 1 species